rnacentral:ncRNA from 2 species
CUCUUAUCGAGAGUGGCGGAGGGAAUAGGCCCUACGAAGCCCAGCAACCUACUUGUAAGAAAGGUGCUAAAUCCUACAGAUGAUGAAUCUGACAGAUAAGAC